CGAUAGUCCUGUCUCCCGCCUAACGGAGCCUCACGCAGCAAAACGAGAAAACCCACACUCACAGCCAACCCAGAAAAGCCAGAGAAGAUGCCGACGGGCCUUGGAGUUCUCGGUAGCCAAAGAAUCUGCCGGCCGCUCCGACCACCCAGACCCGUCGCACGUUGCUUUCUCUCUCGUAACGAGCUACGGAAUAAGAUUCAGGAAGCAACGCAAUGAGGUAAGUAAGAUGAUCAUAACCUUCACGUCUGCUGUAACUAUUCUAUUAUGCAUGAAAAUGUUGUUUACCUAUGCUAUGUUCAACCAAUUCAAGGUUAGUCCCUUUUCAUGAAAAUAAAUUAUGACAAUAUGCUUGUGAUAAGAUUAUAUAUGCUAUGCAGAUUUGGAUUGUUUGUUAAAAUGGAUGUUAUGUCAUGAAAAUCACACGUAUGUUAUGUAAUGCUUA